UCCUUGCGGGCGCGCUCGGCGUUUCGUUCCUGUUCGG
rnacentral:scRNA from 1 species